rnacentral:miRNA from 1 species
CAGGUCACGUCUCUGCAGUUGCAC